AACGCGAAGAACCUUACCUGGGCUUGAACCGCUACGGACCAGCGAUAGAAAUAUUGCCUUCCCGCAAGGGACCGUAGUAGAGGUGCUGCAUGGCUGUCGUCAGCUCGUGCCGUGAGGUGUUGGGUUAAGUCCCGCAACGAGCGCAACCCUUACUCGUAGUUGCUACCCGCAAGGGAGAACUCUACGAGGACUGCUCCGGAUAACGGAGAGGAAGGUGGGGAUGACGUCAAGUCAGCACGGCCUUUAUGUCCAGGGCUACACACGUGUUACAAUGCAUGGUACAGACUGUUGCGAACCCGCGAGGGGGAGCUAAUCGGCCAAAGCCAUGCUCAGUUCGGAUUGCAGUCUGCAACUCGACUGCAUGAAGCUGGAAUCGCUAGUAAUGGCGUAUCAGAUCGACGCCGUGAAUACGUUCCCGGGCCUUGUA
rnacentral:rRNA from 1 species